AGAUAAAAACUAAGAGCAUGAUCUUCAUAGAGCCUCAGCUACGAUAUUUCGCAGAUUUGGUUAUAUUUGAUAUGUUGUCCAUUACAUGCGGAUCACCUCAUAGAGAGGAGAAGAGUGUUUUGCAAACGAUCAUAAAGAAUUUAGCCAUUAAUUGUGGGUUUAUAAUGGGAGCUCUUUUGAUGUUUUUUGGCAUCAUGGACUACAAGAAGAUCUUGGAACAAGCCAAAUCCCCACAGCGACAUGCUUCAGCUACGUUCUUUCUGUACCAGAUACAUCCGAAGUCACUCUCCAUCAUCUUUGAUAAAGCAAAAGAAGGCUUGAAGGAAGGUCCUGAAAACAAAAGCUCGUGGCAAAUAAAAAGCUCUGUUUCAAAUUGGCCAAACCCAUCACCAAUCGCACUCCACCAAGCAUCAUGUCCUGGAGGGCAUUAUUGCAAGCUUCGAUCGUGUCUUCUAAGAGAUUUGCUUAUAUCCCAGCUCUAAUUAUCUUUCUAUUCCUUCACUGUACGUGCUAAACUAACUCUGGUGUGAAAAGAAACCUAUGUUUUAUCAUUUUAGCAUGUCUGAACUUGAUGCCCUCCACUGUUUGCACAUUUAAGCAUAAGGGCAUAUGUACAUUGUUUUCCUGAUGCUAAAUCUAAUAAAUGUUGUCGAUUUCUUAAGAACAACUUCCUGGUUGUUAAAAA